ensembl:lncRNA
CGAGCCCCCCGCGCGCCUGCCGGGGCCUUCGGGGCGGGAGGUUCCGGCGUCGCGCUCGGCUUUCUCUUCCCGCCCGCCCGACCGCUCGAAGCUCGGUGCGGCCUGAGCCGAGAGAUUUCUCCCCUGAACCGUGAACGGACAAAGAGGCUGCCGCAGCAAGUAAAACAAAACUUGGACGGCUUCACGUCGAGCCCCGCAAGCGGGAUCAGAAUCGGGACCUUGUGCUUGCAAGGCAGGUGGCAGAACCACUGAGCUAAAUCCCUGGCCAAAGGAUUAACUGUUUAAAGCAUCUAGGACACCAAGGUCUCAGAUGAGGAAGAGAUUCCCAAAGCAUAAAGAAGCAAGAAGAACCAAUGUGUCAACACAAGCAACAGGAACAGAGUGCCAAGCUGAAGUUCCAGGGCAGGAAGGAAUUGGACUCAGGACCUUGUACUUGCCAGGCAUACAGCGGAACCACUGAGCUAAAUCCCUGGCCUCUUCCAUGUAUUUUUAAAAAGCUGACUGCAUAUCAGAGCUUUCAGGGAAUGACAGACACAAGUUGUUUCUCUCAACCUCCUUAGACUGAGAGCAUAACCACUACCUCUUCCUCUCUUCAACUCAGAUAAGGCUGAGGGAAGAGCAUGAGCAUGAAGUCUGGGGCAUGGAACAGCAUGUGACAGUGGGACCCCCGGGAGUGAGUAAGAACAAGAGUAACCUCAGAAGAAGCAUGGCAGCACCAUGGCUGGAAAGGUCACCUGACACCAGCAAAUAUGAAACCUGCUCUCUCUACUUCAUGACAGAAUAUGAUGAAAUUUG